rnacentral:rRNA from 1 species
UACGUAGGGUGCAAGCGUUAAUCGGAAUUACUGGGCGUAAAGCGUGCGCAGGCGGUUUGUAAGUCUGUCGUGAAAGCCCCGGGCUCAACCUGGGAAUUGCGAUGGAGACUGCAAGGCUUGAAUCUGGCAGAGGGGGGUAGAAUUCCACGGUGUAGCAGGUGAAAUGCGUAGAGAUGUGGAGGACACCGAUGGCGAAGGCAGCCCCUGGGUCAAGAUUGACGCUCGAUGCACGAAAGCGUGGG